rnacentral:rRNA from 1 species
GACGAACGCUGGCGGCGUGCCUAAUACAUGCAAGUAGAACGCUGAAGGAGGAGCUUGCUUCUCUGGAUGAGUUGCGAACGGGUGAGUAACGCGUAGGUAACCUGCCUGGUAGCGGGGGAUAACUAUUGGAAACGAUAGCUAAUACCGCAUAAGAGUAGAUGUUGCAUGACAUUUGCUUAAAAGGUGCAAUUGCAUCACUACCAGAUGGACCUGCGUUGUAUUAGCUAGUUGGUGGGGUAACGGCUUACCAAGGCGACGAUCCAUCGCCGACCUGAGAGGGUGAUCGGCCACGCAGGGACUGGGACACGGCCCAGACGCCUACGGGGGGCAGCAGUAGGGAAUCUUCGGCAAAGGACGGAAGUCGGACCGAGCGACGCCGCGGGAGUGAAGAAGGGUUUCGGAUCGUAAAGCUCGGUUGUAAGAGGAGAACGAGUGUGAGAGUGGAAAGUUCACACUGUGACGGUAACUGACCAGAAAGGGACGGCUAACUACGUG